AUUGAACGCUGGCGGCAGGCCUAACACAUGCAAGUCGAACGAGUGGCGGACGGGUGAGUAAUGUCUGGGAAACUGCCUGAUGGAGGGGGAUAACUACUGGAAACGGUAGCUAAUACCGCAUACCAUCGGAUGUGCCCAGAUGGGAUUAGCUAGUAGGUGGGGUAAAGGCUCACCUAGGCGACGAUCCCUAGCUGGUCUGAGAGGAUGACCAGCCACAAUGGAACUGAGACACGGUUCAGAACCCUACGGGAGGCAGCAGGGGGGAAUAUUGAACAAUGGGCGCAAGCCUGAUGCAGCCAUGCGGGGUGUAUGAAGAAGGCCUUGGGGUUGUAAAGUACUUUCAGCGGUGAGGCGUUACCCGAAGAAGAAGCACCGGCUAACUCGGUGCCAGCAGCCGCGGUAAUUC
rnacentral:rRNA from 1 species